UGGUGGGUAGUUUGACUGGGGCGGUCUCCUCCUAAAGAGUAACGGAGGAGCACGAAGGUUGGCUAAUCCUGGUCGGACAUCAGGAGGUUAGUGCAAUGGCAUAAGCCAGCUUGACUGCGAGCGUGACGGCGCGAGCAGGUGCGAAAGCAGGUCAUAGUGAUCCGGUGGUUCUGAAUGGAAGGGCCAUCGCUCAACGGAUAAAAGGUACUCCGGGGAUAACAGGCUGAUACCGCCCAAGAGUUCAUAUCGACGGCGGUGUUUGGCACCUCGAUGUCGGCUCAUCACAUCCUGGGGCUGAAGUAGGUCCCAAGGGUAUGGCUGUUCGCCAUUUAAAGUGGUACGCGAGCUGGGUUUAGAACGUCGUGAGACAGUUCGGUCCCUAUCUGCCGUGGGCGCUGGAGAACUGAGGGGGGCUGCUCCUAGUACGAGAGGACCGGAGUGGACGCAUCACUGGUGUUCGGGUUGUCAUGCCAAUGGCACUGCCCGGUAGCUAAAUGCGGAAGAGAUAAGUGCUGAAAGCAUCUAAGCACGAAACUUGCCCCGAGAUGAGUUCUCCCUGACUCCUUGAGAGUCCUGAAGGAACGUUGAAGACGACGACGUUGAUAGGCCGGGUGUGUAAGCGCAGCGAUGCGUUGAGCUAACCGGUACUAAUGAACCGUGAGGCUUAACCUUACAACGCCGAAGG
rnacentral:rRNA from 1 species